rnacentral:tmRNA from 1 species
GGGAGCGUUAAUAAUCGACAGUUGCACUUUACUAAGAAUGGCAAACCGUCCAAGGCUGUUUUUAAGACGUUAAACUGAUAAUAGCAAUACACAAAUGCCAAAACAUUUGUUAGCAAUGUGAAGACUGCAUUUGCCAACGCAUUUGCACCUUCCUUUGCGCCAGUAGUUGCCUAAAAACCGACUACCGUCUUAUGUCCGUACGUCCGAUAAGGAUAAUAAGGCGCCAUUUUUCGGACUAGAUAUUUAUAUUAGUCUUUUGAUAAAUAUCGAAAUCUAAACGAAGACUAAGAUGAAAAGGUUUUGCUUAUUUUAUACUUUUUAUCUGACAUCUAAAAAUAAGCUAAGUUUGUAGAUAUUCUUUUAGAGUUUUACUGGACAGGGGUGCAAUUCCCCUCGCUUCCACCA